AUUGAACGCUGGCGGCAGGCCUAACACAUGCAAGUCGAACGGUAACAGGAAGAAGCUUGCUUCUUUGCUGACGAGUGGCGGACGGGUGAGUAAUGUCUGGGAAACUGCCUGAUGGAGGGGGAUAACUACUGGAAACGGUAGCUAAUACCGCAUAACGUCGCAAGACCAAAGAGGGGGACCUUCGGGCCUCUUGCCAUCGGAUGUGCCCAGAUGGGAUUAGCUAGUAGGUGGGGUAUCGGCUCACCUAGGCGACGAUCCCUAGCUGGUCUGAGAGGAUGACCAGCCACACUGGAACUGAGACACGGUCCAGACUCCUACGGGAGGCAGCAGUGGGGAAUAUUGCACAAUGGGCGCAAGCCUGAUGCAGCCAUGCCGCGUGUAUGAAGAAGGCCUUCGGGUUGUAAAGUACUUUCAGCGGGGAGGAAGGGAGUAAAGUUAAUACCUUUACUCAUUGACGUUACCCGCAGAAGAAGCACCGGCUAACUCCGUG
rnacentral:rRNA from 1 species